AUGUGGAUCUACAAAGGGAAAAAGGAGGGCCGAGCACCUCCCCCCUCCAUCUCUAGCCGGAUGAGCCGAUGGGGAGGAAGGGGCGAGGAGGCGUCGGGAGGAUGGCGAGUGAGACCAGGAACAAAGACUAAGACUGGAUGGAGGAGAGAGAAAGAGAGGAGAGAAAAUGACCAUCAUCUCAUAGUCAAGUGCUUCAAAUUUACAAGUCGUUCGCUACCCUGGUUUGCAUUCUGUAUGAUUCCUUCCUCUGUUCGUGUUUUUCGUGCUGAUUUGGCUGGCGAGUACCUAUCACGUGCACUUCAUGGUUUCUUGCAAAGGGUUCUCUUUAUUCACACUUAUCCUCGUGAUCAUACUCUUUUGCUCCUCUAUGUUGAUGACAUGAUUAUCACAGGGAAUGGCCACCAAUUCAUUGAUUUUGUGAAGAAACGUUUCCAUGAGCAAUUCUUGAUGACUGAUUUGGGUUAUCUUUGCUACUUUCUUGGAUUUAGGAUCAUUUCUUCCCGUGAGGGCACUUAUCCCUCUCAAGAGAAGUACAUCCAAGUUCUUCUCACUCGUGCAUAUGCCUGCCUCACUGAUCAGCGCACAGUUGACACUCCUAAUGAGUUUGGUCUUCAUCUUCGUCCUAGUAAGGGUGAACCCCUUGCAGGUCCCACUCGCUGCUGUCAUCUUGUUGGGAGCCUUGUCUAUCAAGGCAUAACUCGUCCUAACAUUUCUUAUGUUGUGCACAUUCUGAGUCAGUUUGUGUGA
rnacentral:rRNA from 1 species